GCUCCUUUGGCCUCAGUUGGUAGAGCGUCAGUCUCAUAAUCUGAAGGUGCCAGUUCGAUCCUGGCAGGGAGCA
rnacentral:tRNA from 1 species